GAGCUCUACAGCCAGAGUACUGAAGAAUUUGAAUACUAGGCUAGUGUAGUUUAUUUAAUAUCAUUGGAAGUUUUUGUUAUUGUACUUAAUAUGGGAGUGAUUCGUUUGAAAUGCCACUUAGUCCUACAAACUUCGUCACAUGGUGAUGUGAAUAGUGAAAGAGAUUAUAGGAUUCUUCAGACUUCUGAUAGUGUCCAGAUUACUUCCAGUUGUAAGUAAUUUCCAGCAGAAUCUACAGCAUUUAUUCUCAGAACAGGAUGUGGU
ensembl:lincRNA